GGCUUCAACAAUUCGAACCUCUGUUCGUGAGAAAUCAUUUGAAAAGAUAUAUUCGACGAGAAAAGAACCGACUCCCACAAUGAACCGAGCACUAAGUCUUCACUUUAAUCGUGACUGUGGUAAAUCAGUUCAGCAACAGCAUAUUACUGCGAUGGAUUGAUCGAGGCACAUUGAUCAAGUGGCACGAACCGGAAACCUGUAAUCGAUUCUACGCCUGCCAGCAUGGCACCGACCACGAAUGGUUCUGCCCGCCUGGAGAAUUUUUCAGCCAAAGGAACCAACAGUGUGAGAGUAGCUGUAAUCCGAUAGACACAAAUCAGUGGUGUGCUGGACUACCGGAUGGGACCUUUAUUCGCGUGCCACCGAAUGAGCCAUUCGAUUGCAACAAAUACUACACCUGUGUAGGAGGAGUUAUGCACGCUCAGAGAUGUCCUGCAGGAGUUCUUCUUUUCACAGUUGAAACAGAUGUGUGGGUUUGACCCUACGCACUGUUGAUUGAGUGGCGACGAAAUUUAAAAAAAAAAUAUGUAAAUUUAUAUCUUUGUAUUUGUGUGUAUGGAAUUAAAACAAAUUUAUUGAUGUUUUUCUACCAGUGGCAAAA